CCCUAGGAAACUUGGGGGGUGAGUACACUG
rnacentral:rRNA from 1 species